UCCUCGAUUUUUCUCCUUUUUCCUGCUAAGCUGGCUCUGGUCCAGGUGGCUACACCAGCUCUGGGGGCCCUAAACCACAUGGCUGGGCUGGCCUCGUUGUUGCAGCUCUGGGUCUGAAGUGGCUAAGGACACAGGGACCUCAGGGUAAAAAUGCUGGAAGUCCUGUGAGGGCUGGGGCUGUCUUAGUUUGCACUCCUCAUGAACAGACCCUGAGAAGAAGACUAAGUACAAGUUGUUCACGAAGUUGUACAAGGAAGGAAAAGCAGCCAAGAAAGGAUGUUAUGAUGCCAGCUGCCAUGGGUCCCGGCCGGCUCCCCACACUCCGGCACUGCCUCCUCCAUCCCCUCCAGUCCAUGACAGCUGCUGUCUUCCCUUGUUUUUCACCACCUGCACAGCUUUGGGGAGCACCGUGGAUGGUACGGACAGGAAAGGUCUCAGAGCUGGGGUGGGCACAUGCCGACAAAAGGUAUGGCUGCACGGCCCCACACCUGGCCCCCGAGCUAGGUGACACCCCCCCCCAGCCUCCCAACACCUGCGGUGUCCCCGGGGACCUCUGUCUGGUCCCGAUCACCGUGGAGGGAGCCCAGAGAGCUGCUGUUUGUGGGCACACCUAUCAACAGUGACAGCGUUGAAAAUUAAAACCGAGAACUUAAAGACUAUUGAUUUUAUUUUUUUAAUUCUUUUUUUAAUUUAAGUUUUAAAUUCCAGUACCACUGGGGCACCUGGGUGGCACAGCGGUUAAGCGUCUGCCUUUGGCUC